CUGAAUAGGGCGCUUAGUCAGAUGCUGCAGACCCGAAACGAAGUGAUCUAUCCAUGAGCAAGUUGAAGCUAGUGUAAGAACUAGUGGAGGACUGAACCCAUAGGCGUUGAAAAGCCCCGGGAUGACUUGUGGAUAGGGGUGAAAGGCCAAUCAAACUUCGUGAUAGCUGGUUCUCUCCGAAAUAUAUUUAGGUAUAGCGUUGUGUCGUAAUAUAAGGGGGUAGAGCACUGAAUGGGCUAGGGCAUACACCAAUGUACCAAACCCUAUCAAACUCCGAAUACCUUAUAUGUAAUCACAGCAGUCAGGCGGCGAGUGAUAAAAUCCGUCGUCAAGAGGGAAACAACCCAGACUACCAGCUAAGGUCCCUAAAUCUUACUUAAGUGGAAAACGAUGUGAAGUUACUUAAACAACCAGGAGGUUGGCUUAGAAGCAGCCAUCCUUUAAAGAAAGCGUAAUAGCUCACUGGUCUAGUGAUUUUGCGCGGAAAAUAUAACGGGGCUAAAGUAAGUACCGAAGCUGUAGACUUGCGCACAACUUAGAUUAUUUAAGUUUAGAAUAUGAGAAACUAAGUUAUAUGUUUAGUUAUAUUUUUACUGAUUUUUAUAGAGUAAAGAUAGAAAUAAAACUUAGUAAAAUCAGUAAAAAUAUUCUUAGACUAAAGUUAAGUAGUUUAAGUUGUGUGCAAGUGGUAGGAGAGCGUUCUAUUUGCGUCGAAGGUAUACCGGUAAGGAGUGCUGGAGCGAAUAGAAGUGAGCAUGCAGGCAUGAGUAGCGAUAAUUAAUGUGAGAAUCAUUAACGCCGUAAACCCAAGGUUUCCUACGCGAUGCUCGUCAUCGUAGGGUUAGUCGGGUCCUAAGUCGAGUCCGAAAGGGGUAGACGAUGGCAAAUUGGUUAAUAUUCCAAUACCAACAUUAGUGUGCGAUGGAAGGACGCUUAGGGCUAAGGGGGCUAGCGGAUGGAAGUGCUAGUCUAAGGUCGUAGGAGGUUAUACAGGCAAAUCCGUAUAACAAUACUCCGAGAACUGAAAGGCUUUUUGAAGUCUUCGGAUGGAUAGAAGAACCCCUGAUGCCAUCGAGCCAAGAAAAGUUUCUAAGUUUAGCUAAUGUUGCCCGUACCGUAAACCGACACAGGUGGGUGGGAUGAGUAUUCUAAGGCGCGUGGAAGAACUCUCUUUAAGGAACUCUGCAAAAUAGCACCGUAUCUUCGGUAUAAGGUGUGGUUCGCUUCGUAUUAGGAUUUACUCCGAAAGCGAAGAAACUUACAACAAAGAGUCCCUCCCGACUGUUUACCAAAAACACAGCACUCUGCUAACUCGUAAGAGGAUGUAUAGGGUGUGACGCCUGCCCGGUGCUCGAAGGUUAAUUGAUGGGGUUAGCAUUAGCGAAGCUCUUGAUCGAAGCCCGAGUAAACGGCGGCCGUAACUAUAACGGUCCUAAGGUAGCGAAAUUCCUUGUCGGUUAAAUACCGACCUGCAUGAAUGGCGUAACGAGAUGGGAGCUGUCUCAAAGAGGGAUCCAGUGAAAUUGUAGUGGAGGUGAAAAUUCCUCCUACCCGCGGCAAGACGGAAAGACCCCGUGGACCUUUACUACAGCUUGACACUGCUAUUUGGAUAAGAAUGUGCAGGAUAGGUGGGAGGCUUUGAGUAUAUGACGCCAGUUGUAUAUGAGCCAUUGUUGAGAUACCACUCUUUCUUAUUUGGGUAGCUAACCAGCUUGAGUUAUCCUCAAGUGGGACAAUGUCUGGUGGGUAGUUUGACUGGGGCGGUCGCCUCCCAAAUAAUAACGGAGGCUUACAAAGGUUGGCUCAGAACGGUUGGAAAUCGUUCGUAGAGUAUAAAGGUAUAAGCCAGCUUAACUGCAAGACAUACAAGUCAAGCAGAGACGAAAGUCGGUCUUAGUGAUCCGGUGGUUCUGUGUGGAAGGGCCAUCGCUCAAAGGAUAAAAGGUACCCCGGGGAUAACAGGCUGAUCUCCCCCAAGAGCUCACAUCGACGGGGAGGUUUGGCACCUCGAUGUCGGCUCAUCGCAUCCUGGGGCUGGAGCAGGUCCCAAGGGUAUGGCUGUUCGCCAUUUAAAGCGGUACGCGAGCUGGGUUCAGAACGUCGUGAGACAGUUCGGUCCCUAUCUGCCGUGGGCGUAAGAAGAUUGAAGAGAUUUGACCCUAGUACGAGAGGACCGGGUUGAACAAACCACUGGUGUAGCUGUUGUUCUGCCAAGAGCAUCGCAGCGUAGCUAAGUUUGGAAAGGAUAAACGCUGAAAGCAUCUAAGCGUGAAGCCAACUCUAAGAUGAAUCUUCUCUAAGCUCUCUAGAAGACUACUAGUUUGAUAGGCUGGGUGUGUAAUGGAUGAAAGUCCUUUAGCUGACCAGUACUAAUAGAGCGUUUGGCUUAUCUUUAAUAAAGCAU
rnacentral:rRNA from 1 species